GAUGAACGCUGGCGGCGUGCCUAAUACAUGCAAGUCGAGCGAACAGACGAGGAGCUUGCUCCUCUGACGUUAGCGGCGGACGGGUGAGUAACACGUGGAUAACCUACCUAUAAGACUGGGAUAGCUUCGGGAAACCGGAGCUAAUACCGGAUAACAUGUUGAACCGCAUGGUUCAACAGUGAAAGACGGUCUUGCUGUCACUUAUAGAUGGAUCCGCGCCGCAUUAGCUAGUUGGUAAGGUAACGGCUUACCAAGGCAACGAUGCGUAGCCGACCUGAGAGGGUGAUCGGCCACACUGGAACUGAGACACGGUCCAGACUCCUACGGGAGGCAGCAGUAGGGAAUCUUCCGCAAUGGGCGAAAGCCUGACGGAGCAACGCCGCGUGAGUGAAGAAGGUCUUCGGAUCGUAAAACUCCGUUAUUAGGGAAGAACAAAUGUGUAAGUAACUAUGCACGUCUUGACGGUACCUAAUCAGAAAGCCACGGCUAACUACGUG
rnacentral:rRNA from 1 species